GAUGAACGCUGGCGGCGUGCCUAAUACAUGCAAGUCGAGCGAAUGGAUUAAGAGCUUGCUCUUAUGAAGUUAGCGGCGGACGGGUGAGUAACACGUGGGUAACCUGCCCAUAAGACUGGGAUAACUCCGGGAAACCGGGGCUAAUACCGGAUAACAUUUUGAACCGCAUGGUUCGAAAUUGAAAGGCGGCUUCGGCUGUCACUUAGGGAUGGAACCGCGUCGCAUUAGCUAGUUGGUUAGGUAACGGCCUACCAAGGCUAUAACGGGUAGGGGGUCUGAGAGGAUGGCCCCCCACAAUGGCACUGAGACACGGGCCAUACACCUACGGGUGGCAGCAACUAGGAAUAGUCGACAAUGGGCGAAAGCCUGAUCGCGCGACGCCGCGUGUGGGAUGAAGUCUCUCGGGUUGUAAACCACUGUGAUAGGGGAAGAAGUCCCGCCUUUGGCGGGAUUGACGGUACCCUAUUAGAAAGCCGCUACAAACUACGUGCCAGCCGCCGCGGUAA
rnacentral:rRNA from 1 species